UACUCCUGUGACGAGACCUUGAACGAAGUAACCCACUAUUGCCAACAUGGCCAAUCUUCCGUUCUUAAUCUCCUUCAGCUUUAAGUCCCUCAAGGAUUUCUCAUCUUUGCCGAGCCCAAGAGGGUUGAAGAGGGGGCCACCAGGGUAUGGAGGAUCACCGGAGCCUCCCAAGUAUUUCUCGAAACCUAAGAAGUACUGCUUGCCCAAACACCCUGGCUUACACCAGUCCUGGAAUCUCCUGUGCUCAGCGAAUCCCAUGAGUGCCAGCUCAAAGACAAAUAAGGUGUAGGGAUCUGCCCAGUAGUCAUAUGUACCAGCAGGAGGAAUCACUCCAGUCUUGAACCAAGGAAGAGCUGUUUCAG
rnacentral:lncRNA from 1 species